CCUACGGGUGGCAGCAGUGAGGAAUAUUGGUCAAUGGGCGAGAGCCUGAACCAGCCAAGUCGCGUGAGGGAGUACUGCCCUAUGGGUUGUAAACCUCUUUUGUCGGGGAGCAAAAGCCGGACGUGUCCGGCUGUGAGAGUAACCGAAGAAAAAGCAUUGGCUUACUCCGUGCCAGCAGCCGCGGGUAUACGGAGUAUGCCGGCGGUAUACGGGUUUUUGUGGUUUAAAGGGGGCGCAGGCGGGUUUUUAAGUCAGCGGUAAAAACGGGGGGCUCAACCCCAGCCAGCCGUUGAAACUUGGGAUCUAGAGUGGGCGAGAGGUAUGCGGAAGGCGUGGUGUAGCGGUGAAAUGCAUAGAUAUCGCGCAGAACCCCGAUUGCGAAGGCAGCAUACCGGUGCACAACUGACGCUCAGGCACGAAAGCGUGGGUAUCGAACAGGAUUAGAUAUCCCGGUAGUC
rnacentral:rRNA from 1 species